rnacentral:lncRNA from 1 species
AUAUGAAGAUAUCAAAUAACAAAUAUAUUUUUAUAAAAUUUGUGUUAUCAAAUUUGUCUUUCCAAAAGUCCUCCCGUCUACACAUAUAUCCUUAAUUCCUUAUGUUACUAAAAUUUAGAUAACCAUAAAUUUUUUUUCUUUGAGAGAGAUAGAUAACACGCUACCCGCUUCGUUUAUUUUAUUUAAAAAUAAACUUAGCUGGAAAUGUGAAUCAACUAGGAUUCGAACUUGGGACGUCGGGUACCAACCAUCAAACACUUUACCACUCGCUCUAGGAACGGUCGGUAUAACUGUGAGUUAAAAAAGCUAACCACAUAUAGCUAAGGGAUAAAAUAAUUUUUUUACUAUUUAUAUAUAUAAUUUGUAUUUCAAUGUUGAGUUUCGUCGUCUUUUUCAUCAUCUUCUCUUUAUCCAUAGCGACGGAAAAAUUUACGACAGCGGCAACAUCGAAGACGAGGCCCUCAAUUGCAGCAAAAAUGAGAUAUGCUGCAUGUGCUGCCGCGAAGGCGGGGAGAGAGAAAAAAAAAAUAGUUUUUUGUAUAGACAAAUUUAUAAGGACAAUAUAGUCAAUUUGUGCACCCACCGUUAAUGCAUAAACUAGCGGUAAAUCAAACGACAGGAAUAUAUAUGAACGAAUUAGAACUUUUGGAUAGAUAUAUUUACAAAUUAGAGAAAUUUUUAAAGAAUAGAUCUGAUCAUUUAAGUUUUGUAGAAAUUUUUAUGCUAUAUUAUACUUUUAUAUGGACUGAUAUAAAAUUAAC